GCCCAGCUAGCUCAGUCUAUAGAGGAGGAGACUCUUAAUUUCAGGGUUGUGAGUUUGAGUCCCAUGUGGGGCA
rnacentral:tRNA from 1 species